rnacentral:misc_RNA from 1 species
GGUCUCUCUUUCUCUCUCUUUUUCAAUUUUGUUUAUUUGCUACUUGUGUUACUGAAUUUCUUUGUUUUCGUGCCAUUUCGACGUACCCUUUUGUUUAGAUUGCAGUAUUGGGCUAUUUGCUGCGUUAAUUAAGAAAUAAUUAGUGAAACACUUGUUUGGUGACCUUGUUUAAUUUGUGGAUAUAUUUGACGUUGAAAUUUGAGAUUCGUUGUUUGAUUUAUUUUUUUUUAGUAUGUAUGUAUUUUACUUGAUGCCAUUUUAAAGUUUAGAUUUUGAUAGCUGAUGGGAUAGAGUAAUCAGUCGCAUAAUUAUCCAUAAUCAGGCUUCUUAUGGAACAAUUUGUGUUUACUUGGCGAGAUGAUAAUAAUAUUGAGCUGGAAAAUGAGGUAUGCAGUGCACAUAUAAUUUGAGAGUACAAACUACACUUCUUGUGCUCAAGUUCUCUGCUUAAGAAAAGCAUUCCAUCCUUAUCCUGUAUGACUAAAAUAGCUUUUCAUGUUCUUAAAUUACCAGUCACUAGCAACAAUAAAUAAAUUUAUGGUAAUAAGCCACAUAAUUAUCCUACUUGAAAGCGUAGGGUGACUGCUCUACUGAUCAUUUUUUGAUUUAUUAACAAAAGGAAUUGCGUCCUACUGUUAGUGAGAGACAAUCUCAUUUUUUUGCAGUAUUGAUUAUGUGAGCACUGUUAUGUUAUAGCUCAAAUGCUAACAUUUGCAUGUUACAUUGUUCAUAACUGUUCUUUUUCUUCUGUUUAAGUUAACAUGUUCUCGUUCUUCUCCUUUUCCAGAGGCAAAGCGUGCAGUACCACUG